rnacentral:rRNA from 1 species
CCUACGGGAGGCAGCAGUGGGGAAUUUUGGACAAUGGGGGAAACCCUGAUCCAGCCAUUCCGCGUGUGCGAUGAAGGCCUUCGGGUUGUAAAGCACUUUUGGCAGGAAAGAAAUCGCAUGGAUUAAUACUCUGUGUGGAUGACGGUACCUGCAGAAUAAGCACCGGCUAACUACGUGCCAGCAGCCGCGGUAAUACGUAGGGUGCAAGCGUUAAUCGGAAUUACUGGGCGUAAAGCGUGCGCAGGCGGUUCGGAAAGAAAGGUGUGAAAUCCCACGGCUUAACCUUGGAACUGCACUUUUAACUACCGAGCUAGAGUAUGUCAGAGGGGGGUGGAAUUCCGCGUGUAGCAGUGAAAUGCGUAGAUAUGCGGAGGAACACCGAUGGCGAAGGCAGCCCCCUGGGAUAAUACUGACGCUCAUGCACGAAAGCGUGGGGAGCAAACAGGAUUAGAUACCCUGGUAGUCCACGCCCUAAACGAUGUCAACUAGCUGUUGGGGCCUUCGGGCUUCAGUAGCGCAGCUAACGCGUGAAGUUGACCGCCUGGGGAGUACGGUCGCAAGAUUAAAACUCAAAGGAAUUGACGG